rnacentral:rRNA from 1 species
UGGGGAAUAUUGGACAAUGGGCGCAAGCCUGAUCCAGCCAUGCCGCGUGGGUGAAGAAGGCCUUAGGGUUGUAAAGCCCUUUCGGCGGGGAAGAUGAUGACGGUACCCGCAGAAGAAGCCCCGACUAACUCCGUGCCAGCAGCCGCGGUAACACGGAGGGGGCAAGCGUUGUUCGGAAUUACUGGGCGUAAAGGGCGCGUAGGCGGCAUAUCAAGUCAGAGGUGAAAGCCCCGGGCUCAACCUGGGAAUUGCCUUUGAAACUGAUAAGCUAGAGUCCGGAAGAGGAUAGCGGAAUUCCCAGUGUAGAGGUGAAAUUCGUAGAUAUUGGGAAGAACACCAGUGGCGAAGGCGGCUAUCUGGUCCGGUACUGACGCUGAGGCGCGAAAGCGUGGGGAGCAAACAGGAUUAGAUACCCCUGUAGUCC